rnacentral:tRNA from 3 species
GGGCUAAUGGUCUAGGGGUAUGAUUUUCGUUUUGCAUACGAAAGGUCCGGGGUUCAAAUCCCCGUUGGUCCA